UAUUAACUCAUUAUGAAAUGAUGAAAGUAGAAUAUUUAGGCUUUUGCUUUGUAUUAUUUAAGUAGACCUUAUGACCUAAUUAUCUUCCUUUCAGGCCACAGAUUACUACGGAAAAGCUGUGCAGUUGAAUUGGAAUAGUCCCCAGGCGCUUAACAACUGGGGACUUGCACUGCAGGAACUCAGUGCGAUAGUCCCUGCUAAGGAAAAGCAUAACAUUGUUAAGACGACAAUUAGUAAG